rnacentral:rRNA from 1 species
UUGCAGGGUACUCGAGUGGCGAACGGGUGAGUAACACGUGGGUGAUCUGCCCUGCACUUCGGGAUAAGCUUGGGAAACUGGGUCUAAUACCGGAUAGGAGCCAUCUUUAGUGUGGUGGUUGGAAAGUUUUUUCGGUGUAGGAUGAGCUCGCGGCCUAUCAGCUUGUUGGUGGGGUAAUGGCCUACCAAGGCGGCGACGGGUAGCCGGCCUGAGAGGGUGUACGGCCACAUUGGGACUGAGAUACGGCCCAGACUCCUACGGGAGGCAGCAGUGGGGAAUAUUGCACAAUGGGCGCAAGCCUGAUGCAGCGACGCCGCGUGGGGGAUGAAGGCCUUCGGGUUGUAAACUCCUUUCGCUAGGGACGAAGCUUUUUUGUGACGGUACCUAGAUAAGAAGCACCGGCUA